UAGUAAUUGCAUGGUUAAGACACUUAACCUUAUGUUAAGUAUCAUACAAAAUUAAAUUAGUGUUUCUCUCCACUCCUUUAACUGGUUUUACUUUAAUUCUUUUUAUUUCAAUUUGAAAGAACUUGCUCUUUCUUUACGUGGAUUUUAAGUACCUGAACAGUUUCCUUGCACAUCUUUCAUCUGGAACUAUCAAACUCUUAACUAUCUCCACUUCCUCCUUCAUGUUUAAUCUAUUCGUAUGUGACUGCCUCCCACUUCUUGAAGUUACUAGCCCAGUUUUAAUGAGAACAGGAUCUGUAUUUUAACUAAACACAAAAGUCAUCCUUUAUGUAGUGCCAGAUACAUCAUACAGAUCACAUUGGGACUGUAAUUUUUGCUGCCAUAUUUUAGUUUAAUAUAGAAACAUCUGCAUCUAUUUCCUUUUCCAUUUUAAAUUCCACUAUCUCGUUCUGUCCUCACUGACUGAGACCGAUUGAUCUUUGUAUCUUAAUAAUAUUCUUCAUCUUGAGUCACUCCUUAUUCAUUUCAGAUUCUAAAGUUACCACUUUACUACACACUUACAAUAAGACCAGGCCAUGUUUGCUUUCGUAACUUGUAUAGAUUUUGCACUGUUGCACAUAUGUACAUAAUAGCCUUUUCCUGUUUGAAUGAGCAAGUACGUGUGGGAUCUGAAGAGCUGAAUGGAAAUAACUUAUGUGUCUCUCAGAUAAUGUUAGCCAAAAACUCACGGUAGCUGAAUAGACACUGGACAUCUCCCAGUCUGGGCCACGUGCCACGUCAGUUAUUAAAUCAUGUGUGUUGAACCAUCACUCAGUUGUUUUCAGGAAAAAUGAUGUAAGGCACAAAAGUGCCACAUGGCACUAGAGAUUACGUGAAUCCCUCGGUUUGGCAGGGGCGAGAGCUGCAAGUGACGUAUUAACAUACUGUGUUGGAAAAUCCUGGUUUUCAGCACAAAAAGAUUGCAAAACCUGAAAUUUGGUACUGACUCCGAAUUUGAGCCAACUAUAGCAGGGAAGUUGGCAUCCUUUAACAGAUUAAUGAUGCUCUGCUUUGUGGCAGACCGCACUGCUGUAUUUCCCGUUGGUGCUCAAGCAGUAGUUUAGGCUAUCUUCUUCACGCAGGAUGAACUGUUUACUACUGUUGUUCUGUGUGCACAAUACAAGCCCAAGACAAUAUGGUCUAAGGUAAAAUCUAAAUUUCUUCACUUUUACAAGGGAAUUUUCUCACAAAGAGCUUGAAUGCUUGCUAUCGGACUCCUUCUACAUGUGCUAAUGAUAAUGUGAUAAUGAACUGACAAUGGAAUAAAUCCUUCACUGAGGCAGAUGGACAGUUAAGCUACUAAAUAAAACCACAGAAAUUGCAAAGGAUCUGAAGGUUACGGCACCCAAUCUCCUGCUCAAAGCAGGACUAUCAUCAGUGCUAGAUCAAGCUGGCUGUGGUUUUGUCCGAGUCUUGAAAGCCUCCAAGGAAGGAGAUAUCACAAGCUCUGUAGGUAAUCUCCUGAGUACCCUCUUGGUGAAAAAGUUUUUCCCAUGUCCAGUUUGAACCUGCCAACCUAAAUCUGUGAUCAUUUCUCCUUCCUAUAUUGUCUGCCACUACAGAAGACUUUGCCUCUGUCAUCUUCACAAUUCCCUUUCAAGUAGUUUUAAGCUGCUACGAGCUCCCCCUCCCUAUCCUCCUCUUUGUCAGAUUCAGGUUUAUAUACAGUGAAUAGUUAAAGGGAUGCCAUCUUAGUGCCUUUUCUGUCCUUUGUACAAAAAACCAAUAUAAUUCAAAAUCUGAACACAAUGAUGAAAUAAAACAUGUGUUUUGUGAGACUAGCAUGUGAGCAGCAUGACAUAUUGCCCCUGGGUACACAUGUGGUCUGCAUUGUAAACCAUGAUCAGCAGUUAUAAUCUAAUCAGACCUAACUUGGGCUUAAGAGUAACAGAAGGACACUUUCAUUUUCUAAAAUUAAUGAUCUGUGGGGCAUUUCAGCUUUGGUAAGACAGGAUUUUCCAAUCAUAUCCAGCCUCUGACCUAGGGAGACAGUGUAACCCUUGUCACAUUAUACGUGAAGCCCACAGUCUUGCAGUCAAACACAGCCGGAAAUGGCAGGUUGAGUCUGAGGUUGUUAGUAGCUUGUGUGAUAGAGGUAUCUCAAUUUGAAUGUGUUUACACACAGCUUGAAACAUGGUGUUCUGAGCAAGCUAGGGAACCUUGAGCAGAAGCUGGACCCACUGUGAUUUCAAAAGCAAGCAAAAGCACCCCCCACCAUGAGAAAAGGCCCCCAGUCAGACACAACAGUCCCAUGAAAGUGGUGUGAAUAAUGACCAGUGUAAAUGGAAGUUAGUGAAUAAAACCCCACUAAGGGCUGUUCUUUCUUUCUGCCUGUCAAUCUGAAGUAUUCGGUAACUGAGUAGAGCCUGAGAGGUUAGAAAGGCCAUGACAGCAUUUCCUUUUUGCAGCUAAAAUUGCUGAAAAGCAUUUCUGAAUUCUUCAUAAAAAGUGUGUGUGUGUUUCUUACAGGUUACUAAAACUUUCCCCAACACCACACUUGCUUGAUUUCCUGCUCGAUGCUUUCAUUCACCAAAGUUUUGCACUGAAUGCUGACAAAGAACCAGCAAAGGCCACAGAAAACAAAAAGGUAAUUCUGAACAUCUGUAGCCCAUUGACACACCACAGAAAGAACAUCCCUUUUAACUGCACAAAGGGAGCAUGUUAGAUGGUAUCAGACACGGUCAUUCCAUUUUAUGCACGCAGUUUAACAAUGAAACUAACUCAAAGUUUCAUCAUGCUUACAAGAAAAGGCUGUUGUGUUAUUAGCUCAUCUGAUGUACUUAUGUCCUGUCACGAUUUUUUUCAGGUGCUUUUUUAAAGACUGAACACUAUGAAUACACUGUGCUCUCAGGCACUAUAAAAUACCAGCAGGUUGAAGAGUGCACAGAGAACUUCAUCAGCUGCCACAGUUGCUUGAAAAUUGUUCGGUUUUCAGAAGAAAAUAAGUAUGAUUUUUGCUGCAGAACAUAGUGCAGGAAUCUCCUCCUCUAGCUUUUUAUGCAAUCCAUAUACACCUCUUAGUUUGAUAAAGCAUUAGAGUGGGAUUGCUAAACCAGCCAGGGCUGAGUUCUGGCCACAGAGCCUACCUUUGUCUUGCACAUCAGUAUGAAGGUAGCAUGAAACAUUCUAGCUCCUCAAAUCUGCAAGGAAUUGUAUAAUGUGAGAAGCAAAAUCAGAGUGGAACUUCCAAAGAAAUGACCUCAGGAGAAUCCAGCUGCAUCCUUCCGUAUCUUCAUGAACACCUUAUCAUGGAAUUCAUUACAUUCCAGGUUUUUACACCAUGAGUGAGCUGAGCUGAUAUUUAGAAUAUUUGAAUCUUUAAUCAGCAGUAGCACUAUUAAAUGUAGCAGCAUCAAAAAAUAUAUGGCAGUCUCUGCACAGAAAUAAGCAGUCUACUUCUUAUUGUGCAGACAAAGUGGCUGUUAAUAGCAGAUACCAAUUUCUCCACAGAAAUACACUUCAUGGCUUGCUUUCUGAGCAGAGACUUCUUGGAUUCCUUAUUCUUUUAUGCAAGAUGGAAGCAAAAAUCAAAACCUCCUUGAUUGCAAAAUAAGUAAUUGGAUUAAAUUAAACUUUAAUUGGAUUAAAUUAAACCAACUUCUGUUUAUUCUUUUGUCUUUUCUCAGACACCUUUCAAUGUGGGCUUGAUCCCCUUCAACAAAAGGGAAUGUUGAGACUGUCUGACAAGUGCUUUAACCUGUUACUCCUAUUGCCUAUCUGCUUUGCCUGAGAGAGCCACCUACACACAUCCUCCCUGCAGCCGGUGCGGAACAAGGAGUGUCUCCAAUCCCAGCCUCUGCUGAAAUUCAGUGCGAGCUUUGUAGGUGAAAAUACCACCAGAGCCAUGGAACAGGCAGAGCUGUCAGCACAGCAAUUAAGCUGUCAGGAUUCUGAUGUCUGCUGCUUUCUACCAUAAUCAUUAACUGUUUAGUUUCUUCCUUGCAUAAAGUCUCAAUUGUACUGUGAACUGUAAAACGCUAUUGGAAACUUUACCAGCCCAGCUGAAAUGAUUUUAAUUUCAUACCAGCCUAUUGUUACCUGGAUCACAUUUCACUUUUAAUACAGCAUUCCAUUUCCCCUGCAGUUUAACACACAAGGAUUUGUUAGGUUCCUGCACACCAAACUUCAUUCAAACUGAUGUCUGCUUUAGGUUAGGGGAAUAAUAGAACAGGAGAAAACAGACCUACAGAACAGACUUUAUAUAAUAUAUAAAUUUAAUAUACGUUCAACAUGUUACCAUCAUAAGUGAAGGCCAGUUUUGGAUCAUGAUCCAUUUUAUAAGGUGCUCUACAAACAGGAAAAGUUUUCUGUCUCAAAAGAUCCAUGCCCUCACUAAAAGCACAUGGGUGGUACACUUGCUCAGAAAACAUGGCCAGUAAAUUUGGCACUUCAGACAUACCACCUACUUAGUACGCCUCCUGACCACACGGAAUGUCGUAUGAUAGAAAAGCAAUGGGACAGAGCCUGGCUCUGCCACCAGAAUAAGCACAGGGAUCCUUAAUCAGAAACCCCUGAGCUUUAGCUCACCGGUGAGCCAAGAGGUGAGCAGAGCAGUGUCAUGUAAGGGAACACUGAUCAUAGUGAGGGCAGUGAAAGCAAAGGUGCAACCAUCUGUUCAACAGUUGCUAAGAAGUCUGAAAAAGAGACAGAUUUUCACUUUACAUAAGAAACCCCCUAAAUAUCAGUUGUUUGGGUUUUUUUUUCCUAAAUAUUUGGACCAAAAUAUCCAUUUAGAGAUGAAGUCUCAGUUGUGCAAUUAUAAGUGAUGCAUACACUGCCAAAAUGUGGGAGUAGGAGGCUGUGUAAGGGGAAUAAAAGAACAGAAAGAAUAAGCAAGAGCAUCCUAUGCAACUGCAUUAUUACCAGGACUUCAGGAAGAGGAAAGGACGGGCAGUUGACUCUUCUUGGAAAAGGGAAAUGUUGCAAGUUCCAUUCAGAGUAAUGGCUGGUAAAGCACUCUGCUGGGUAUCAAGUAAAGUAGCAGGUACUUGCAUUUGUAUUUCAUACACCCCAGCUGAGAAGUGGAAUGAACGGAUUGUACAGUACAGGGGAAGAUAAACACACAAAGGCAAACACUCCCCUCUUAACUCUCUCACGUUCUCUCAAGUAAAAGGUUCCAUGAAAUGCUUCAGUCAGCAGUCAUAAAGGUAAAUACACAUUUGAAGCUAGAGUCUGAUCCAGUGACAUUUAUAGCAGGAAGUAUUCCUUAUUACACUUCUGUACUAGACCAGGAGAAUACCUUUCAUUCUGGAAAUAUUUUACAUCAAAAGGUGAAAGCACCGAAGCAGAUCCUCAGCUAGAGUCAGAAAACACUGCUUCAGUGAAGUUAAUAGAGCUACGCCACUUGACUGGUGGGAAACCCGGCCACAGCAAAGCUAAAAUUGAAUAAUAAGAUGAUUUUUCUAUACAAGCUACGAGAGGAUUGAGAUCAUUAUCUUUUUCUAAUAGUUAGAAACAAUAUUUAAGGAUCCAUUUGCAAAAUGGAGCACUUAGGUGGAUCCUGUGGAGGUGCAACAGACUUUCUGUGAUCUCUGACCUUCGUUUUCACUGCCUUCACUUCAUGAAGAGCUGCUGCUGCUCUCUUGAAAUAUCUCUAUAUAAAACAUUUUAUAUGUGUGAGUCAGUCAAAUGCUAAGGAAAACUAUAAAGGUUUAGCUUCAGUGCAUGGAAGCAAUAUACCAUCAAAAGAAUUUGAUAAGGAAUACUGACUUCCCUGUUAUUGUAAUUCUGUCAUACAUUUUGCUGCAAUAUUUCAAGAAUACAACUUUUUUGCUUCUACAGUGCUAGAAACUAAAGAUGUGAAAGAUGAUCACGUAUCUUGUGCACAUUCAUCUGAAGGGGUCUGUGCAGAAAAGGGAACUCUGAUGAUGCUGGGGUUCUAGCUCAUCAAUCCUGAAAAGUGACCUUGCUCUAAUUGUUUCAUAGGAAAACUGCUGCAAAAAAUUUUCACGACAAAAGGCUCUAAUUUUGUCUUUAUCCAG
ensembl:lncRNA